rnacentral:rRNA from 1 species
CCUACGGGAGGCAGCAGUGGGGAAUAUUGGACAAUGGGGGGAACCCUGAUCCAGCGACGCCGCGUGAGUGAAGAAGUAUUUCGGUAUGUAAAGCUCUAUCAGCAGGGAAGAAAGAAAUGACGGUACCUGACUAAGAAGCCCCGGCUAACUACGUGCCAGCAGCCGCGGUAAUACGUAGGAGGCAAGCGUGAUCCGGAUUUACUGGGUGGAAAGGGAGCGUAGACGGCGAUGUAAGUCUGAAGUGAAAGGCGGGGGCCCAACCUCUGGACUGCUUUGGAGACUGGAUGGCUGGAGUGCAGGAGGGGUAAGUGGAAUUCCUAGUGUAGCGGUGAAAUGCGUAGAGAUUAGGAGGAACACCAGUGGCGAAGGCAGCUUACUGGACUGUAACUGACGUUGAGGCGCGAAAGCGUGGGGAGCAAACAGGAGUAGAUACCCCAGUAGUC